rnacentral:rRNA from 1 species
CGCUUCUUUUUCCACCGGGAGCUUGCUCCACCGGAAAAAGAAGAGUGGCGAACGGGUGAGUAACACGUGGGCAACCUGCCCAUCAGAAGGGGAUAACACUUGGAAACAGGUGCUAAUACCGUAUAACAAUCAAAACCGCAUGGUUUUGAUUUGAAAGGCGCUUUCGGGUGUCGCUGAUGGAUGGACCCGCGGUGCAUUAGCUAGUUGGUGAGGUAACGGCUCACCAAGGCCACGAUGCAUAGCCGACCUGAGAGGGUGAUCGGCCACAUUGGGACUGAGACACGGCCCAAACUCCUACGGGAGGCAGCAGUAGGGAAUCUUCGGCAAUGGACGAAAGUCUGACCGAGCAACGCCGCGUGAGUGAAGAAGGUUUUCGGAUCGUAAAACUCUGUUGUUAGAGAAGAACAAGGAUGAGAGUAACUGUUCAUCCCUUGACGGUAUCUAACCGGAAAGCCACGGCUAACUACGUGCCAGCAGCCGCGGUAAUACGUAGGUGGCAAGCGUUGUCCGGAUUUAUUGGGCGUAAAGCGAGCGCAGGCGGUUUCUUAAGUCUGAUGUGAAAGCCCCCGGCUCAACCGGGGAGGGUCAUUGGAAACUGGGAGACUUGAGUGCAGAAGAGGAGAGUGGAAUUCCAUGUGUAGCGGUGAAAUGCGUAGAUAUAUGGAGGAACACCAGUGGCGAAG